UUCAGAGAUGCGAGGGUAUCCAAGCACCCUCGCAUUCGUAAUGCGAAGGUCGCAGGUUCGACUCCUGUCUCCGGCACCA
rnacentral:tRNA from 2 species